UACGUAGGGGGCAAGCGUUGUCCGGAAUUAUUGGGCGUAAAGAGCGCGUAGGCGGUCCGAUAAGUCGGCUGUGAAAGUCAGGGGCUCAACCCUUGAAAGCCGGCCGAUACUGUCGGACUAGAGUCCGGAAGAGGCAAGUGGAAUUCCCGGUGUAGCGGUGAAAUGCGCAGAUAUCGGGAGGAACACCAGUGGCGAAGGCGGCCAUCUGGACCAGUACUGACGCUGAGGCACGAAAGCGUGGGGAGCAAACAGG
rnacentral:rRNA from 1 species